rnacentral:misc_RNA from 1 species
AAAGUCGUAACAAGGUCUCCGUUGGUGAACCAGCGGAGGGAUCAUUACAGAGUUGCAAAACUCCCAACCAUUGUGAACCUACCUCACCGUUGCUUCGGCGGGUGGCCCGCUAACCCCGCGCCGCGCCGGCUCCUCUCUAGGGGCUCGGCAACCCGUCAGAAGCCCUAAACUCUCUGUAUUCAUUGGCCUCUCUGAGUAACUUAUACAAUAAGUCAAAACUUUCAACAACGGAUCUCUUGGUUCUG